rnacentral:lncRNA from 1 species
CAAGGAACUGGGGUCAUCCGUGCAGCUGCCUCCCGCUGCUUGGUGAGAGGAGUUGAGCAGGCCCUGGAAACUGGGGCCUUCUCUGCCAGACCCAUUAAGGACUUUAGGGAUCAGAAGACUCUCACCAAAGGGAGGUUGCAGAACAUAGUGAGUGAAUCUAAGCAGAGACUGGACAAAGGCUGGGGUCCUGCCAACUAUUAACUAUUAAUGCUACUGAAUUCAGAAGGGAUACAAAGGUCCUGUCAGGUUGGCGAUAUGAGCUAUGACACCGCCAUCCCCAUCACCAACAUCACUGUUUCCACCACCAUCAUCAUC